GGGGCGUGGUGGGGAGCCGUAGACCCGAGUUUUUAUCCUUCUCUGGCGCCGACACUCGGCUGCGGAAUCGAGUUUGAGCUCGGUGUAGCUGAAGUUUAAAUUGUAGCUGUUUCAAAGGUAGACCCCACCUCACCCCCACCCCUGGACCAAGACCUCUGGAAGCGUCCUGCCUGGAAGCCGCUUGUGGGGAGGGCUCUCCUAGGGUCUCCAGGCUCCCGCUGGAGCACGCCUGGAGGUGGGUUUGCCGGCCGUUCCCUGAAACUGGCACCACUACCGCCCCACCCACCCACUCCAGCUGGUGGGAGGCAGGCUGGGUUUCUGAAAGGAAGCCGCCCGUGUGCUGCGCCUGGGGGCUGGGGCUAGGCCUUCUGAUCAGGAAAGCCCAUGGCCCUGCUUUGGCACGGAUUUGCCCCCGUUUGGCCGUUUGUGCGUGAUCACAGCAGCUGUUGUUGGAGAGGAAGGCAGUGAUAACGGGGCUUAAAGCAAAUCGGAGAUCUUAUCCGAUUUGGACAGGCUGAAUUUAAGGCAAAAAUCACUGUCUCUCCUUCGAGCACUCACGUCUCUGUAACUGAAUGAAAGGCUGGUAAUGCAAAUAGCAUUUCUAUCCCAGUAAUCACAGAAUGAACACAGGAAGGGAAUUAAUUCUUUUAGAAACUGCCAAUGCUAUGCGUAUCUUCCGAUGGUUUUUUUCUAAUGUAUCUAAGGCCCAGGCUAGCGAACAACAGCAAUAAUAAUGAUAGUAAUACUGUUGGCCAGGACCAGAGAGGCCCAGGGCUGCGGGGAUGAGGAGGGAAUGGCCUCCUGUCACCGCCCCUCCUGAGUCUGCUGGAGAGGCGCCAGCUCAGCAGCCCGGCAGCUCUUCCUGCCUCUCCCCACCCCAUGUCCCUGCUUCUGUCUGCGGGGUGUCCCUCCCCACAGGUUUCCUUCCGCCUGGGCUGUCCCAUCCUGUUGACCCAGCCUGAGGGCUGGAGCAGUUGGCCCUGGACACUGUGGCGGGAGAGGAAGCUCCUGUAUGCCCCUCCGGCAGGCCUACCUUCCUUCCUGUCGGGCCCUCCCCUGGGGUGGCUUCUGCUAGACCCUCCAGGCCAGAACCCUGUCCCUUCCUCAGGAAUGUGGGGCCUGCUGGCCUGGCUCCCCAGCGGGCUAAGAAGCAGGGAGCGGUCUUGACUUGUGAGAGUGAUUCAAAACAGGAAA
rnacentral:lncRNA from 1 species